UUUCCCCAUAUUUCUUUG
rnacentral:misc_RNA from 1 species